AUUAAUUCCACAGUAGAGUCUUUCCUAUUUAUUAUUACUUAGACACUAAAGAAUUAUACUUUGAAAUUUGCACAUCACACCAACAUGGUUUGUGGGGAGUGAGAUUGAAAUACUUACUUUUUGUCUAAGUGUGUUCUCAUUUUUAUUCUUUAUAAAAUAAAGACAGUAUGUGUUAUAAAGUAAUAAUUGCCUCACCUGAAGCUUUGCUAGUAACCGGGCCAGUCCUUCCUAAUCAGCAGUGAUUCUUGAGUCAAACGAUAGAGUUUUGGCACGAGGCAGGGUGGUUAGUUGGUUCCAUAGCCUUUUCAGCUUGAGUUAAUAAGUCCUUAGAGGUGUUCUACACCUAGUGCCCUAAAGCCUUAGUGAUUUGGGAGUCAUUGACCUAAAGCUCGCUACAUGGGUUGGAUCGAAAGCUUAAGGGAACCGAUAUUACACGACCACUACUAUUACUCAAAAAUAAAAAAUAAAAUAAAAAGAAGAAAAAAUAAAAGAAAAGAAGAGAAUGAUUAUAUAAGUAUGUGAAGUAUGAAUAAGAGGGAUAAGAGGUAAGGGUUUUAGCCGAGUCUCCUUAACUAUGAUGGCACACGUUACACCGAAGGAAGCUUGUGAAUUCUUUUCUAAUUGAUUCUAAAUAGCUUCGACUUUGUGGUGGGAUUAGUUGGAUCUAUUGAAAAGAUGUUCCAG
rnacentral:lncRNA from 1 species